AAUCAACGCUGGCGGCGUGCCUCAGACAUGCAAGUCGAACGAUUAAGACUCCCUUCGGGGAGUGCAUAAAGUGGCGCACGGGUGAGUAACACGUAAGUAAUCUACCCUCGAGUGGGGAAUAACGUUCGGAAACGAACGCUAAUACCGCAUAAUGCAGCGGCACCGCAAGGUGACAGUUGUUAAAGGAGCAAUCCGCUUGAGGAGGAGCUUGCGGCAGAUUAGCUAGUUGGUAAGGUAACGGCUUACCAAGGCUACGAUCUGUAUCCGGCCUGAGAGGGCGGUCGGACACACUGACACUGAAUAACGGGUCAGACUCCUACGGGAGGCAGCAGUCGGGAAUUUUGGGCAAUGGGCGAAAGCCUGACCCAGCAACGCCGCGUGAAGGAUGAAGUAUUUCGGUAUGUAAACUUCGAAAGAAUAGGAAGAAUAAAUGACGGUACUAUUUAUAAGCUCCGGCUAACUACGUGCCAGCAGCCGCGGUAACAC
rnacentral:rRNA from 1 species